rnacentral:rRNA from 1 species
AUUCAGCGAGCGGACGGGUGAGUAAUGCCAAGGAAUCUGCCUGGUAGUGGGGGACAACGUUUCGAAAGGAACGCGAAUACCGGAGACGUCCUACGGGAGAAAGCAGGGGACCUUCGGGCCUUGCGCUAUCAGAAGAGCCUAGGUCGGAUUAGCUAGUUGGUGAGGUAAUGGCUCACCAAGGCGACGAUCCGUAACUGGUCUGAGAGGAUGAUCAGUCACACUGGAACUGAGACACGGUCCAGACUCCUACGGGAGGCAGCAGUGGGGAAUAUUGGACAAUGGGCGAAAGCCUGAUCCAGCCAUGCCGCGUGUGUGAAGAAGGUUCCUUCGGAUUGGGUAAAGCACUUUUU